AUUCAGGUAGUUUAAUAAAAACGUUAGUUUGUGGAUCUAAAAAUAUAAUUAUUUAUUUUGAAUA
rnacentral:tRNA from 1 species